GACGAACGCUGGCGGCGUGCUUAACACAUGCAAGUCGAACGGAAAGGCCCUGCUUUUGUGGGGUGCUCGAGUGGCGAACGGGUGAGUAACACGUGAGUAACCUGCCCUUGACUUUGGGAUAACUUCAGGAAACUGGGGCUAAUACCGGAUAGGAGCUCCUGCUGCAUGGUGGGGGUUGGAAAGUUUCGGCGGUUGGGGAUGGACUCGCGGCUUAUCAGCUUGUUGGUGGGGUAGUGGCUUACCAAGGCUUUGACGGGUAGCCGGCCUGAGAGGGUGACCGGCCACAUUGGGACUGAGAUACGGCCCAGACUCCUACGGGAGGCAGCAGUGGGGAAUAUUGCACAAUGGGCGGAAGCCUGAUGCAGCAACGCCGCGUGCGGGAUGACGGCCUUCGGGUUGGAAACCGCUUCCGCCUGUGACGAAGCGUGAGUGACGGUAAUGGGUAAAGAAGCACCGGCUAACUACGUG
rnacentral:rRNA from 1 species